GACGAACGCUGGCGGCGUGCUUAACACAUGCAAGUCGAACGAUGAUGCCAGCUUGCUGGUGGAUUAGUGGCGAACGGGUGAGUAACACGUGAGCAACCUGCCCCUGACUUCGGGAUAACCGCGGGAAACCGUGGCUAAUACCGGAUAUGACGCGCUAUCGCAUGGUGGUGUGUGGAAAGAUUUAUCGGGUGGGGAUGGGCUCGCGGCCUAUCAGCUUGUUGGUGGGGUGAUGGCCUACCAAGGCGACGACGGGUAGCCGGCCUGAGAGGGUGACCGGCCAGACUGGGACUGAGACACGGCCCAGACUCCUACGGGAGGCAGCAGGGGGGAAGAUUGCACAAUGGGCGCAAGGCUGAUGCAGCGACGCCGCGUGAGGGAUGACGGCCUUCGGGUUGUAAACCUCUUGCAGUAGGGAAGAAGGCCUUCGGGUUGACGGUACCUGCAGAAGAAGCGCCGGCUAACUACGUG
rnacentral:rRNA from 1 species